rnacentral:lncRNA from 1 species
GCUCCGAAUCAAUUUUGAGGUUCGAAAACAGAAAAUAGAAAAAAGAAAAGGAAAAACCGAGGAAAACCGGCCGAACCGGACCGACCCGGUCAAACCAGACCGAACCAGACCGGCUCCGCCCGCCCGAGCCGCCCGCUCUCACUGACCGGUGGGACCCACGCGUCAUCUUCAACCUCCGUCCGAAAAAUCCGGCCACGCACGCCCGCGAACUGCCCACGAAUCCGUUCCGAUUUCAUCGCGCACGAACCACCAAAUCCGAAACCCCGCGCGU